UACGUAGGGGGCAAGCGUUGUCCGGAAUUAUUGGGCGUAAAGAGCGCGUAGGCGGUCCGGUAAGUCAGCUGUGAAAGUCAAGGGCUCAACCCUUGAAAGCCGGUUGAUACUGUCGGGCUAGAGUCCGGAAGAGGCGAGUGGAAUUCCCGGUGUAGCGGUGAAAUGCGCAGAUAUCGGGAGGAACACCAAUGGCGAAGGCAGCUCGCUGGGACGGUACUGACGCUGAGGCGCGAAAGCUAGGGGAGCAAACGGG
rnacentral:rRNA from 1 species